GGGCGGCCCGGGCACAUGGAAGGCACUGGGAAACAGGCCGGAGUCUGUCUCUGGGGGAAAGCCGCCGGCUUUGGGCCAGGCUACCACAAGACCUUCAAUGGAGACGUUUGUACAGAAUUUUGUGACUGCUUUGUCUGCGAAAGGUGCUUACAAAAAACCAACAAUAAAGAAGACAGAGGACAAAAGUGUUUACCAGAAGCUGGGGAAAUGUAACUGUGACCAAGGAAUGAAGGCUGGAUAUCUUGCUGACUCCCAUUCCACCUCUGAUGUCACUCUGCUUGACUGGCCUAAUCAGAAUCUUUAGAGAAAAUGAUGUCACUUAGUACAUUUACAUGCAUAGCUAAGUGAAGCUACAGUAUAGCUCGACUACACCAUUUAAUCGGACUACUGUCCUUGUCCCAGUACACAUGCACGGAAGGGGGAUCGAUUUAUUAACGGAAGUAUGUCCGACUCUGCUACAAUAGGUGGCGAUAUGGCUCCUUUUGGCUGUUAGUGUUGGGCUUUUUCCGGUUGACCUAUUACGUCACAGACAUUAAAAAAAAUAAAAAAAUGAAUAAUAAUGGAUGCGUGGACACAUGAAGUGACACAAACUUUAAUCGCGACCUGGCAGGAAGAACAGAUACAACAAGAUCAGGGUAGCAUAACAAGAAAGCAUUUUAUAUAAUAUACUAUAACAGCACGGUAUUGGAGAUUUUUCAAAUAUAGCAAUGUGAUUUUGUUGUAAUAAAUAUUGGGGUAUUUAUGAAACAAAAAAGGAGUUUAACAUAAAUUUCCCACAAUCCCACCUAGGAGUGAUUUAAUCAACAAGCAAGAAAAUUAUUAUGAUUGUCUGGGGAAAAGCAUGCAGUACUCAUGCAAAAACAGCGAAGGCAACUGAUUUUGAAAAAUAUACUUGAUAACCUUGAAAAUGAAUAAUAAUUAAAAUGACUGAACUUGGUAAGUUUUUUUUCAGUUUUAGCGAGACUUAAACUCUCUGCGCUACCAUAUCUAUACCAAACUGAAGGUAAGAAAAACUCUGAUCUUAAUCUAGCUGACUAGCGAUGUAAGAAUUGGAUAUGCAUAACAUGCGAUUUUGGUAUUAAUUUUCCACGUGGUCCAGUCGUACUACAGCCAUUUUUCGAAUUCAGUGCAUAAUACCCCGCCUUACAUUGUGAUGUAUGCCAUUUGGUGCUGGUACCAGUUUUUACGCCAGUGGAAAACCAAUAACUUGAAGUACCGUACUUUUUGUACGAUGUUACUCGGAGGCAGACGACUACCUCAGAUUAUACCCCAUGCGCAGAACGCCUAGUCCAGUUUGAGUCCGAUUGAGUGUAUACAUGCAAGAGUCAAUAGACUCCAAAUCACAUUAGCUGGCUGUCUUAGUCCAACUUCGAGAAAUUCGAUUUAGUACGGUUUCAGUCGUACAAACAUGUAUUCAUGUACUUUAAAGUUCCGAUUUUAGUCGGACUAACACAAUAAUUCGAUUUUCUUAGUGUACAUGUAAAAGUACUGACUGUCUUAUUUUAGAAUAAGAAUUUUUUUUCUUUUUAUUUUAUGUUUGGCAAAAACCUUCUAACCAAAAACUAACCAACUAAACUAGGCUUUCAAAGCCUAAGGCUUGGCGAAACAGAUGGAACGGCAUUUAUUUUUGGUGCAGUCUUAAAAAUAGGUUUAUACAUUAAGAUUGUUGAUUGGUUAUAUUAGAAACUAUAAAAUGUUACGUUUAGCUGGAGUAAAAACGAAGGAAUGUUUGAGCAAGAUAAUGUUUUUGUGACCACUGUCCUUCAUGUUUCCCACACAAAUGGACAAGCUGCUAAAAUUAAGAAGCGGUUCUUUCAACCUGAAGCCUCAACACACAGUCUCGAUCAAUAGUCUCAAGGCCCGGCAUCUGGGGCUGAAAAACAACUUGGGGAAUCUUUCCCAUCACCCUCCGGGAUGGCCAACAGACACAACCAAACUGAUUAAAAAGGGGCCACAAACCUUUUCAAAACCUUUCAAAAACAUUCUGCAGUUAUAACUUUUUUAUUUUAAGCAGACUGUAUAUAUUUCAAUACUGAUAUUUCAAAAUAAAGAUAUCUCAAAAUUUCUAAUACUUUCAACUGAACUACGCGAAUGUCAGAGAGCAGUUAAAACAUAAUGUUUUGCCUCCUACCAAUUCCAGUGAUCUGUUCUGUGGACUAGCUGGCUAUUAAUAAAUUAGCUUGACACUAGGUUGAUCUGUGUGGGCAGACAGGGAGUAUAUUGCAUGAAAUUUAAAUUAUAAAAAUGACAGAGAGCACAAUAUAGCUUUUAGCUUAUAACUACAUUUAUCAUAUCUUAUGCAGUUAUUGUGACUGGUUAAUGGAAUUGCUUCAGUGACAGCAACAGAGACGUUUUAUAAUUGUUGACAGUCAAGUAAUUUGAUCUGGUUUUGAUGCAGACCUGUGAUAAUGACUUUAGAGUGGCUGGUCCAGGUGGACACAUUUCAAAAUAUGUUAUUAUUUUCAUUGUGUAACCUCAACAUGUGCAUUUGCUCCUCAUUUGAAGGAUGAUGGUGAAAUAACACUGCAAGUAUAUUCAUGCAAAUAUUCCCACUGUCCUAAGAAAGGUAGCAAUUUAUGACUGACCUGUUUUUAGUGUGAUUCAUGGUUCAACCCUUUGAGCUUUCAGCCUUUUUUGGGCAAUUCUGCCAGCUUGGGGUGUAUUUAAAUAUAAAGCAUAAAAAGCCUUGUGGUAGACUGGAGAUAUAAGCAACAAGAUACAUAUAAGGGCAGCCUUUGUUUCAGAAAUCCCUCAAGACAGAAUUGAUCUCUGAGAAUCAGGAUUCCAGUGUUGAUGAAAUUCAAAGAUCACAUCUAGACAUGCACUUGGCUUUGGUACAUCUCCAUACUUUUCCAGUGCCACCAAGAACUGAGCCAUACUUGUGCUAACAUGACCCUACUUACUAUUAGGGCUGAAAGGGUGACUAAACUGAGCUGAUGGGUCGAAAUGCAUGGAGAUACCAAUGAUCUGUGUUGAUAUGCAUAGAUUAUCUGAAGGAAAAGGGGCAUGUUCUAUAUGUUAUUCAAUAUUAGUAGUUUAUCACAUCAUGAUGUAUUGAUGCAUUGCCGAUACCUCGGAACUUAAAAAUGUCCAACCUCUUACUUAAAAAAGUACUAGAGAAUGUCUGAAUGGAAUGGAUUUGUAAUGCAAAUUUAUGCAAGCAAAUGCUAAUUCUACUAGCGUUAGAUGCUAACAUAACACAGCGAUUCCCACAGACAUACUAGUGGAAAUCAGCACAUAGCAAAUCGUGAUGUAUACUGUGUGAACAAUAAGCGUCUCUUUGGUUUUAAGUCACUGUCGCUCUCUAAACUUGGCCGAUCUGGCCCUUCUGCAGUGGAAAACCAAAGCGAUCUGGAACUGCACUGUCUCUUCGCGGUACAGCUUGGGUACCUAUUGGUUCUUUGUCAGUGGAAAAGCACCAGCUUCGAUAGGUUUGCUUUGUAAUCUGCAAUCUCAUCAUAAAAUGCCAUACAGUUGAGACAAGAUUAACCUGUUAUAUAUUGAUGCCUACAGAUGAAGACAACAGCGUAGUACUCGUGUAUGGUCAGCAAUCUGAUUUGGGUUUUUUCCUAUGACAUAGUAAAAAUGUUUAAGG